rnacentral:rRNA from 1 species
AUUCACGUUGAUCCUGCGUGAGAUUUCCGCUAGAAGGGUUGGAUUAAGCCAUGAAAGUGUGUUAACCUCGUGUUGACCGCAGAAGGCUGAGUAACACGUCAUUAAUCUGCCUUAUGGUCCCUAAUAAUCUCGAGAAAUUGAGUGUAAAGGGGAUAGUUAUCCUAUACUGGAAUGUUUGGAUAAUCAACAUAAGAUGAGAUGGCGGCCGAUUAGAUUGUUGGUGAGGUAAUGGCUCACCAA